CAGUUCCGUUCCUGCUCUGCUUGAGGAGAAGCGCCAAGUGCGCAUGGGGACGCUAUAGCAAUUCGUUUGCUGUCCUUCCUCUCCUUCGAAGAUGACAAGGCCUACCAUCGUUUCUUCCUGCCUUUGGGCCGUCAGGCAGUUGGUUGGGACCCGCUCCAACCCUCGGUUCUUCCUGCAAUACAGUGGAUACAAUUUGUCAUGGCUACUCUGAGUGUUAUAGGUUCAAGUUCACUUAUUGCCUAUGCUGUAUUCCAGAAUAUACAGAAAUCUCCAGAGAUAAGACCACUUUUUUAUCUGAGCUUCUGUGACCUGCUCCUGGGACUUUGCUGGCUCACGGAGACACUUCUCUAUGGAGCUUCAGUAGCAAAUAAGGACAUCAUCUGCUAUAACCUACAAGCAGUUGGACAGGUGAUAGAUUAUACUUGUCGAGUUGGUCAAAUGGCCUUUGUUUUCUCAAGGUAAAAUUUUUUCUUUACUUCUUAGCGAGGUGUAGACUCUCAUUAUUCUGGUGUUCAGGUGGGAACAAAUAGGACAGUGCCCUUUAUUUCCAUUGUCAGUCCUAAGUCCUCACA
rnacentral:sRNA from 1 species